GCGCUUUUAGCACAGAAAAGGACGCAGCAAGACCGCAUGGUUUUAGUUCUACACAUGCGGGGCGGCGGCGGACAACAUGGCUACUCUUCACUUGGCUGUAUUUUGGACUUCGCGUUUCGGUUGAACUUUAUCAUACAAAUUUCACUCUUUGUAAUGUGAAACAAAAUGUAUCAGUCAAAUUGUAGUACUGAGAACAACACUACGACAUUCUGUAGGUAAAAAUGUACUUAAAUUUGCAAAGAAGAAAGUGACUUUUGACAUGAGGACUUUUGGUCAAGUAUUUCACCCAAGCCUUUUUUUAUGAGCACAUCUCACAGUGGUCUAAUUUUGCAGUCGAGUUUACAGCCCGGCUUGAGAACUCCCUCGGAGUUUUUCCCUCGGAGUUUUCGCUGGGCAGAGAAUUCCUCCAAGUUGGACAGAACAUUGUCGCCGGCGGCGUACACAACCAACACGCUGGUGGCAGAGACCAACUUUGAUGUUGAGCUUGCGAGUAGAGCUUGAGAGGUCCAGGAGUUUGAACAAUCUUCUGAAAACAACCAGAACUGUAAGAGGAAUUGAACAUUUAAAUCGACCCAUUCUCCUGUUGAACUUUCGCUUUUUGCUUGCGAGCUCCGUCAAGGUUGGUGAGAGAAGCUCUAUUGGAACUGAAUUACAUUGAAAAGAGGACUUGAUGUACUGAAUUUGAGAACUGUUUAUUUUUGACACUUAUUUUUGCUGGCUGUUGUCAGAACUUUAAAACUUUUAUCUGUGGAUUGUGUGGUAUGGGUGUGGCUACAAGUCGUCCAAGUGAAAAGACAAGAACUUUCAUGACUUUAAAAAUGACCUUUGGUUUUGUGUUUCAAAACCAAAUACAUUUUUGCUGACUGUUGUCAGAACUCUAAAACUUUUAUCUGUGGAUUGUGUGGUAUGGGUGUAGCUACAAGUCGUCCAAGUGAAAAGACAAGAACUUUCAUGACUUUAAAAAUGACCUUUGGUUUUGUGUUUCAAAACCAAAUACAUUUUUGCUGACUGUUGUCAGAACUCUAAAACUUUUAUCUGUGGAUUGUGUGGUAUGGGCGUGGCUACAAGUCGUCCAAGUGAAAAGGCAAUAACUUAUAAAGUGACUUUUGGUUUUGUGUUUCAAAACUGAUUUUGGAAUUUUUGCUGACUGUUGUCAGAACUUAAAACUUUUAUAUGUGGAUUGUGUGGUAUACCCAUACCACACAAUCUACAAGUCGUCCAAGUGACAAGACAAUAACUUUAAAAGAGACUUUUGGUUUUUGUGUUUCAAAACUGAACACAUUUUUGCUGACUGUUGUCAGAACUCUCAAACUUUUAUCUGUGGAUUGUGUGAUACGGGUGUGGCUACAAGCAAGUCGACCAAGUGGUAAGACAAGAUCAUUAAGAUGACGUUAAGUGAUACCAGAGAUGAUGACCUACUCUUAAUUGAUGCAGCCUGUCACUGGCAGUUUGAACUUCAUGCAUAGCAAGAAUUUGGAACUUCUUCAUUUUGUACAGACUGAUACCAGAGGUGAUACUCAUUGAUGCAGCCUGGCAGUUUUGGACUUCAGGCCUGUCAAGGAAUUUGUUUUCUGGUGCAUGAUGGUGAUCUAAGUGAACUUGACUGUGAAUUACAUUGAUGUUCGUUUUCUUGACAAACACCUACAGCGAAGGAGCCUUAAAGGCACUGGACACUAUUGUUUUCUGGUGCAUGAUGGUGAUCUAAGUGAACCUGACGGUGAAUUACAUUGAUGUUCGUGGUCUUGACAAACACCUACAGGGAAGGAGCCUUAGAGGCACUGGACACUAUUGAUUGGACGCGAGUCUUGGAAGAUGACAUCAGCCUGAGAUGACAACAGAGAUGCACGGAAGACUCUGGCUGGAUUGAGGAUCAAGAGGACAAGAGCUAAGGACUGACUGGAGCAAGUCUAAUCAAGAUGUCGAUCAACCAUCAUCUGGAUCACAAGGGCGCUCUUUAUCCGGAAAUGGCAACCCCUCUCAAUUUUUGCUAAGCAUAGAAAUUCGUCGCCAAUUAGUAUUUUCUGCUAACAGCUUUAUGAAACUGGGCCUGCACCUUGGGCUGUAUCUGAAUUGGCGGCCAACGAUUUUGGCUGUGAGUCCUAUACUUCAAUGAAUGAUAAUACCAAAAUCUAGCCAGAGCCAUAGCUGUAGCCGCCAAUUCCGACACAGCCGUGUAGACCCAUAGGCCCUUGUUGAAAAGACGGCUUCGACUUUGGAUUCGGCUCAGGCUAUAUAGCUUGGCUCCGUCGGUUGAUUUGACAAUUGCGCAUGCUUUGUGUAACUGCGCCUCAGGGCUUCAGACAAGAGAACGGAGCCUCAAGCCAAACCCAAAGCCGAAGCCGAGGUUUGGAAAAGGGAGCUAGAUAUUUAUCAAGUUGUUACCAUCUUGUUACCCAAUUUAUAUAACUAUAGCCAAACCGAGGCUAGGAAAAAAAAUAGUCUGGCCCCUCAAUCUGAAUGAUCUGAAUGAGAAUUAGACAUUUGAUAAUAAACUAGGAACUAGAUGGUCAUAUAAAUCAAGAUAAAAGUCUGGAUGAUCUAUGAUUAGUUUUGUCUGAAUGUAAUUUGUAGUUUUUUAAGAUUUAUUUAAAGACACUGGACACUAUUGGUAAUCCAGUCUUCUUGGUGCCUCUC